AUACAGAGGGUGCAAGCGUUAAUCGGAUUUACUGGGCGUAAAGCGCGCGUAGGUGGCUAAUUAAGUCAAAUGUGAAAUCCCCGAGCUUAACUUGGGAAUUGCAUUCGAUACUGGUUAGCUAGAGUAUGGGAGAGGAUGGUAGAAUUCCAGGUGUAGCGGUGAAAUGCGUAGAGAUCUGGAGGAAUACCGAUGGCGAAGGCGGCCAUCGGGCCUAAUACGGACACGGAGGUGCGAAAGCAUGGGGAGCAAACAGGAUUAGAUACCCUGGUAGUCCAUGCCGUAAACGAUGUCUACUAGCCGUUGGGGCCCUUGAGGCUUUAGUGGCGCAGCUAACGCGAUAAGUAGACCGCCUGGGGAGUACGGUCGCAAGACUAAAACUCAAAUGAAUUGACGGGG
rnacentral:rRNA from 1 species